rnacentral:rRNA from 1 species
CCUACGGGUGGCAGCAGUCGAGAAUCAUUCACAAUGGGGGAAACCCUGAUGGUGCGACGCCGCGUGGGGGAAUGAAGGUCUUCGGAUUGUAAACCCCUGUCAUGUGGGAGCAAAUGAAAAAGAUAGUACCACAAGAGGAAGAGACGGCUAACUCUGUGCCAGCAGCCGCGGUAAUACAGAGGUCUCAAGCGUUGUUCGGAAUCACUGGGCGUAAGGCGUGCGUAGGCUGUUUCGUAAGUCGUGUGUGAAAGGCGCGGGCUCAACCCGCGGACGGCACAUGAUACUGCGAGACUAGAGUAAUGGAGGGGGAACCGGAAUUCUCGGUGUAGCAGUGAAAUGCGUAGAUAGCGAGAGGAACACUCGUGGCGAAGGCGGGUUCCUGGACAUUAACUGACGCUGAGGCACGAAGGCCAGGGGAGCGAAAGGGAUUAGAUACCCCUGUAGUC